UACGAAGGGGGCUAGCGUUGCUCGGAAUUACUGGGCGUAAAGCGCACGUAGGCGGCUUGUUAAGUCCGGGGUGAAAUCCUGGAGCUCAACUCCAGAACUGCCUUUGAUACUGGCGAGCUUGAGUUCGGGAGAGGUGAGUGGAACUGCGAGUGUAGAGGUGAAAUUCGUAGAUAUUCGCAAGAACACCAGUGGCGAAGGCGGCUCACUGGCCCGAUACUGACGCUCAUGCACGACAGCGUGGGGAUCAAACAGG
rnacentral:rRNA from 1 species